GCCAUCCUCCUGCCUCAACCUCCGGAGUCGCGGAGAUUACAGGCAUGCAACACUGUGUCCAGUGGAGGUAGGUACACACACACACACACACACACACACACUCACGUACCACACUUGGGCUGAAGAAACUAAUAUUUAAGGAGAUUGAUGAACUUGCUCAAAACCACUCUGCAAGGGCUGGAUUCCUACCUUAAUCCACCUGAUUUUAAAUUCCUUACUCAUUCCACUCCAAGCCGCUCAAUGCUACAAUGAACACUGGGCAGUAAGAAGCUCAGUGAUCUGCAUUUUGGAGUCACUGGAGCACUCUUCUCUAGCUGCUGGGCCCUUCAGGAACCUUCCAGAGGCCCAGGGCCUUGGACAUCAGUGAGGCUUUAAUACAGUAAACAAGCCCAGCUUCUUUUAUUAGUUGCCAACGCAUUCUUCAUCUUCUUUUCCCUCUGAGAGGACUAAACCCAUAGAUAAUGACAUCUGUUCCUCUCUGAAACUCCACGUGUACCCAUCGGAUAAUGGGGUUUUGCCGGUUACUUGUUUCUCCCAACCAAACUCCUCAAUCUGCUGUCCAGCUCAGCAGGCAACAGAAAGGACAUUUCAUCUAUCUUUUGCCCAGAAAUGAGUACGUGACUAAGGCGUGUCAUGGGUAUACAUGCUCACAUUUGAGAAUCACACCAGACAAUAACUUGAUAUAUCACAAGUGUUGAUUUACUCCCAGUCCCAGUGCAGGGAAAUAGAGUAUUUUAAUUAUGAAUUAAAAUGCCAACUUACAGUACUGUCAGGUCUUAAUUACCUGUGUUUAAGGACAAUGCAAAAAUAAAACAAAAAACAAACAAACAAACCCCUAAUUAGUUAAAAUUAAUGAUAAUUUAAUCCAGCCCAUAUUUUUACCUUCUCAGCCCACCAAAUCUUUUGCUGGAAAGACAUUUACAGACAACCAGUUCAUAGAUCAGGUCAUGAUAUGCAGUUGGAGUUUCUGUGGCAGUCACUUCUAAAGGACUUUAAUUCUUUUGAGUCUUGUCAUGAAACAGCUACAAUUUCCAGGUUAAUAACCAAAUGAUUACCAUCCUUCUUGGCCUAGUCCCUCCCCAAUCUGGCCCUGAGCUUCUUUUUCAAAAAAUGAGCUUUCCCUCAUUUCCUGAAGUCUCUCUCUGUGGACCUCAUGAAAUGACCUCCUGUGGGCGGCAUCCUGGCCAUGGAGAAAAACCUCACCCACCAAAGGAAAAAGCUUUGCCCACAGGGCCCCUGGGAGAUACCAUUUUCAUCUUCUAUUGCACUGUGCUGACAUUUUUAAAUUAUAAUGACUCCAUAUCCCAAAUGAGCCCUAAGAACAUUCUGAAUCAGCUAAUUAAUAAAUCAAUUGCUCUUCAGGAUGGCAUUUAUCAAAUUCACAACUAAUAUGUGGGGUGAGGUUAGAGUGGAAUUCUGCAGCUCCUGCGCACUGGCUCUAGUAUGGCCCAUUUGUAUAGGAACCAGUCUCUUCCAAGACCUUCCACAGACUCUGGCUGUGAGCUGAGCGCCUGCAAGUGUGUACUGUACUCUGAGCCCCCUGGGGCACGCCUGCCUCAUCAGAGCAACAUCUGAUGGAAUAGUGAAUAGUUGCUAAGUCUGAAGAACAAAACACCCUUCCUACCCUUCCUAAUCACUCCGUGUUCCAUAUGCUGGUGGUAACGGAAACAUCCUUUUGGUCACAAGGUUGAACUACGAUUAAAACCAAUUAGAUGCAAUCAUUUAGAUGUCGGUGGCUUCUGGUAUCUUUGCCUUGUUCAUUAGCAUAGGGAUGAUAAAGGUUGACAAUACCAAGCUGAUCAGCCUUCUUUGCAAAAAGUAGACCACUGGUGAACUUGAGAAUUCCUUAAAACCUCCUCGACUUUCUACACCUUUCAGAAUCGCUGCCGACACACAUCAGUUGUGACAAUUAGGCAGUCAGAGCAGAGUGCACUGCUUUUCCUUGCCGACUUAGUGCCUCCUCCUUGGUCAUGACUGUCCCCUCACUGCCGCAGCCACCUUGCUCCUCACGGGCUACUGAGGUCCUGGAGUGGCCAAGAAGAGGAAUGAUGGGAAGAUGGUUCAAAGGUGCCAUCCGUCCAUAGGACGAUGAAGGUGGACUAGACCACACUAGAGAGGUUGGGGACUUGGUGAGUGGAGAGUCUGAGAGCCCCUGUUCAGAGGCCAAAAGUCUGCCACUGAUGGAGUCCUUUUCUGGCUUGCACUAUUCACCCUCUUUUCCUUCUUUUUUAUCAUCAAUGUGGUUUUUCUCCUGGAGAGGUUAUGUAUUUAUUUAUUUAUUUUAAGAUAAUGGGCCUUGACUUUGCCGUCAAAUAGUUACUCAAGCCUAAUGGCUUCGCAAAUUACAUAGGGAGAAUCUAAGCUUGAGGGUAGAUAUCAGGGCUAGGGUGUCAUGGGCGGGGAAUCAGAAAUGGCCCUCUGUCCUACAGAGAGGACACACCAAAGAAGCAAGAAGAUGGAGUGACGGAGAAUGAAUGGGGAGCAGGCAGGGAAGGAAUUAGACAUGGGGCUGUUUUAGAUGGAGCACACCCAGGGGGGUGCACCGACAGAGAGAGGGGUGAAGGCGUGUGAGUUAAGAAUGGAAACAGAAACCGUCUUUACUCAAGUUCAGGGUGUUUGAAUCAGGCCCAAAUUGACAAAGAUAUCCAGGUAGAAACUGAAAUUAGAGAAAUUAAAUAAGAAAAUGAUAUUUGGCUGAAUAAAUACAUCUCUGAACAGAUGCCAGAAAGCUUCAAGGCUGCCCAUUUUCUUUCCAUGACUGUACGGAGAUUGCACAGGAGUGAGUGGUAUCGGGAGUUCGGCUGGCUUGAGACCAAAGCAAAGCAGGAAGCUACUUGAAAUAAAAUUUUACUCAUCUCGAUGUUUUUGGACUUGAAACAGACGUUUACCUUAUCUGAACUAAAGCAUUUCACAGGAUGUGAUUUCCUAUUUUCUCUUUUGUGGUCCCAUUUAUAAAUCUAUGGUGAGCGGUUUAAAAUGGUUUUUUUGGUACCACCAUCUCCUUCUGCCCAAUAUUAUGAUAAUUCUGAAAUACAAACUGAAUAAAUACCUAGGUAGGUCAUUUUCAAAAUGAUUCGUAUUUGCUUAGCAGAUUGAAUCUGUGCAGUAGUAAAAUUACAGUUGGUCAAGUCAAUCUUGAGUCAGAGUAAGGUUUACCAGGGUAAUGUUGCUCUUUAACCCCUUAGUCUAAUGUGGUUUUAGGAGUGGGGGGAAAUCUCAACAUCUGUAUCAACAGAGGAUCCACAGAGUUUGAAAUGCUCCAAGCAGACUUUCCUCACAGUUAUUUAUGACAGUUUGACAGUGAUAGAAAAAUCUGGAAUGCCUUCUCCUCAACUUUGCAGAUGCCUAUUUCUGCAAGCCCGAUUGAUCAUUCUGUGCCUUAGUUUCCCUUUCUGCACAUUGCCUGGAGCCUUGUCGACUAAACUGUGGAUUAUAACAAGCUCAAGGCUGCACCUGAUUUUUAGUUUACUAGCCAGACUCCAGGCACAAACUAAGCAUUUGUGUCUGUAAGGGAAAGAGUUUAAGAAAGAAAUGAUCUACUGAUAGUUUCAAUAUUAUUGUAUAUUUAAAGAUGUAUUUUAAAAUAGUCAUCGGUUUAUGACUUCUGAUGACGAAUGGAGCUUUUCUGUAAAAGUCUUUUUACAGUCUUUACACAAAGCUCCAGGUGAACGUUUGCUUCUGGCCGUCUGUAUACUUCCAAAUACCUACUUCGUGGCUUUCUCAGGAUGUCCUGUGAUUUAGGACAAUAAGGUGAUCCAUUUUGAUAUUUUGGAGGGAGAUGGUGUGAGGCUACGGGUCCAAGUCACACUGAGCUCUUUGAUAAUAAGCAUGAAGGCAGGGGCAGGGGGACCCCCAACAGUAUAAUGAAACUGGAUGGAUCUGCUUUUUCUCACAUCACUCAAUAAGAUUUUCACAGUUCGCACUUAGGAUUUUCUGAAUCUAUGAAAAGGCAGGCCAGGGACAGGAUAAUGGGACAGGGCUGAGUGUGACAUGGAUCAGUAGCCUCACAGAGAAAGCCCACAGUUUCCCUUCAAAAUGUCAAAAUGAAUCACUUGGAUUUUCUAAAUUGCAGGAUAUCCUGAUGAAGGCGGGCAAUGGUUAUUUGAAGCACGGGGGUGCAGACCAGGAGCAAACACGUUUAUAUGGAACUAUUUUUUAAAGAUGAAAUUAUUUCAUAGAUGAACUUGCAAAUGGUACCCAGCAUGCUACUGGACAAAACUUUCUUCCUCUCUCCCUCCCUCUCUCCCUCCUUUCCUGUUUACCUCCUUCCUUCCCACCCUCUUUCCUCCAUUAUUCUGAUCCCUCUUUCCUUCAUUAUUCUGAUUGUACAAAAUUACAACAUUAAAAAAA
rnacentral:lncRNA from 1 species